GAUUGAACGCUGGCGGCAUGCUUUACACAUGCAAGUCGAACGGUAACAGGCCUUCGGGUGCUGGCGAGUGGCGAACGGGUGAGUAAUGCAUCGGAACGUACCCAGAGGUGGGGGAUAACGCAGCGAAAGCUGUGCUAAUACCGCAUGUGAUCUGAGGAUGAAAGCGGGGGACCGAGCAGCAAUGUUUGGCCUCGCGCCUUUGGAGCGGCCGAUGUCGGAUUAGCUAGUUGGUGGGGUAAAGGCCUACCAAGGCGACGAUCCGUAGCUGGUCUGAGAGGACGACCAGCCACACUGGGACUGAGACACGGCCCAGACUCCUACGGGAGGCAGCAGUGGGGAAUUUUGGACAAUGGGCGCAAGCCUGAUCCAGCAAUGCCGCGUGCGGGAAGAAGGCCUUCGGGUUGUAAAGCGCUUUUGGCAGGAACGAAACGGUGUCCGCUAAUACCGGGCGCUAAUGACGGUACCUGCAGAAUAAGCACCGGCUAACUACGUG
rnacentral:rRNA from 1 species